UACGAAGGGGGCUAGCGUUGCUCGGAAUUACUGGGCGUAAAGGGUGCGUAGGCGGGUCUUUAAGUCAGGGGUGAAAUCCUGGAGCUCAACUCCAGAACUGCCUUCGAUACUGGCGAUCUCGAGUUCGGGAGAGGUGAGUGGAACUGCGAGUGUAGAGGUGAAAUUCGUAGAUAUUCGCAAGAACACCAGUGGCGAAGGCGGCUCACUGGCCCGAUACUGACGCUGAGGUGCGAAAGCGUGGGGAGCAAACAGG
rnacentral:rRNA from 1 species